CUCUGUUGCGCAUCAAUGCUGGAGGAGAUUUAGGCGACAGUUUAACGGUCAAGAUGCAGAAGAAAAUCUCGUCAUUCUUUUAAAAAAAGACAGAAAACCCCAGCCCUGUCCUCAGUCAGGAGGUUGAUAGUGCAAGAGGGAAAGCCUACCUGUUUCCAAAGGGAAAGCCCACCUGUCUCCUGCGAUGGAAAGCUCACCUGUCUCCACAGGGAAAGCCCACCUGUCUCUACAAGGAAAGCCCACCUGUCUCUACAGGAGAAGCCCACCUGUCUCUACAGGGAAAGCCCACCUGUCUUCACAGGGAAAGCCCACCUGUCUCAGCAGGGAAAGCCCACCUGUCUCUGCAAGGAAAGCCCAUCUGUCUCUGCAGGGAAAGCCCAGUCCUGUCUCUGUAGGGGAGUGCCUGUUUCUGCUCUCUCUCUGUAUGUCACCUGACUGGCUCCAGAGAAAAAGUGAAUGUAAAAAUCCCUCCAUAGGGCCUCAACAGCAGGUCCCUCGUCAAAGCCAUCUCAGAGCCGCUCUACCAACUGCUGUAAAGGGUGAAACAGUGCUGCUAUUAUUAGUCACACUGAAUUAUACAACCCCUCUAGUUCUCAUAUUUAUUUCCUCAAUGAAAUGAUCUCUAUGAUCUCACAAUGUCUCACUGGUCAAAGGUGUAUUUACAAAGCUGUCCUUGUGAGAUUAAUCAUUCAUAGGGAUUUUUUUGUUUCUAGACUAUCUCUGGAGGAUUAAGGAGCUUGAGUGACGGUAGAGACAGAGAAGGUAAUAAUCUGACCUCAAUCUGAACCUGUAAGGAAUUCUAUAAAAAUGAAAUGGGAUAUUUUAUUAGCGUUGAUUACAUUAGCGUGUACAGUGCUGUGAACUUUUUCCCCCCUUGCUGAUUUCCUCUAUUA